UUAAAUUCAGAGGGUCUUCUCGUCUGAUCUGAGGUCU
rnacentral:rRNA from 1 species